ACUCACCUGGUUAUUAAUGGCAGCCAUAUAAGUUGCAUCUUCGUUAAUACUCAACGAUAACACAGCCGCAUCGGCUUCCGCAAUCUAAACGAUACAAGUUUCUAAUUAACAAUUAGAAUGCAGAUCCCAAACGUGUAUUGCUCCGCUGUUGUCGCCGACAAUAAGUUCACUCUAGAUUGAGGUUAUAAGCGUAUAGACCCUCGCAGCCUGUCAAAAACUCUGGCAAGAAUCGAAGGUAAAAUUUAUCGAAGUCUGAAGAAGCCAUGUUGUACAAAGCUAUGGCGAUCUCCUCCUGCAACAAGUCGUGGGAACGACGAACUAAGACCUGAAGAAACACGUUCAAAAAGUGGAACAGCAUCCCAUCGCUGAAGAUUGGCUAAAUAAAAACAAAACGCACCGUCGUCUCCAUGAGUAACUCUAGUUUGAACAUUUGGGCGAAAGAAAUAUCGCCAGUUGUUUAAAAGAAGUUGAUGUAGCAGCUCAAAGAAUUCAGUCUUGAUGUCUGGGGCGGAACGCUGGAAAACAGAGAGCUCAGGUAAUCCAGGAACGUCAUCCAGAUGUCGAGGCAGGAGAAAAACACCUCGUUGUCAGGCUGGCAUGAACAAGGGAAAAGUUAGGGCGUGCAGAUCCAAUAAUCAUGAUCUUUGUAUGAUUAGAUCAACCUAAUCUCACACCAACUUACCUAACCGAGUGCUGGAUCCAGCGGUGGUCAU